CCUACGGGCGGCAGCAGUAGGGAAUCUUUCACAAUGGGCGAAAGCCUGAUGGAGCAACGCCGCGUGCAGGAUGAAGGCCUUCGGGUUGUAAACUGCUUUUAUAAGCGAGAAAUAUGAUGGUAACUUAUGAAUAAGGAUCGGCUAACUACGUGCCAGCAGCCGCGGUCAUACGUAGGAUCCGAGCAUUAUCCGGAGUGACUGGGUGUAAAGAGUUGCGUAGGUGGCAUAAUAAGUAGCUAGUGAAAUCUGGUGGCUCAACCAUUCAGACUAUUAGCUAAACUGUUAAGCUCGAGACCGUUAGGGGUAACUGGAAUUUCUAGUAUAGGAGUGAAAUCCGUAGAUAUUAGAAGGAACACCAAUAGCGUAGGCAGGUUGCUGGGACGGUUCUGACACUAAGGCACGAAAGCGUAGGGAGCAAACGGGAUUAGAUACCCCUGUAGUC
rnacentral:rRNA from 1 species